UUGAGCUGUGGACAGACCACCAUGCGCCUGGUCAGAGGCUCACACUGAAGGCUUCUCAGGCUCUCUCCUGUGACUUGCAUUUGGGGGCCCCACUCAUGGUCCUUCCACCAUACAGCCAGGAUGGCUGGGUCCAACCAGGGGUUGCCCCCCUCAGAGUCUCAGGUCUUGGUUCUCAACAGGGGUGUCUCUGCCAGCCUGCCAUGCUUUGGGAGACCCAGCUAACCACAGGACUUCCUCCCAACUGUAAGUGACACUCAGGCCUCAGGUCCAACGGACUUGAGAAAACAGCCCAGAAACUAAUUCCCAGAGUGCUCUGCACAGCCGGACCGCCUGCUGACCCUCAGGGUGAGAGGGCACCAGUAGCCGCCCCUCAGCCUCCACGCUGCCCCAAGCUGUGGGAACCACUGACCUGGCAGGAGCCGUUAGGGGACAGGGUCCAUGACAACCAGCUCCAUCCAACCUCCUCCCCUCGAAUUCCAGGCUUCAGGGGCUAGAAGCGUGCCUGCCCUGCCCAGACGCCCCCACCUUCCUCGGGAAGACUCUGCUGCAUCCUGUCCCCCUCCCUGGAUUCCAGGUGCUGCCUUCACUCUGGGGUAGAAACUGGCCACUCUCGGGGCUCUCAGCUGCAUCAUACUCCCAUCAGCAGGUGACACAGAUACAGGAUCAAUCACCAUGAAGCAAGAACUAGGCCUCAAGAUGCUUCUGGUCAUCCCAUAUGUUUGCAGUUCAAAGCCAUCCUGGGACCCCAGGCGGGACAAGGGCAGGCCAGGGAACUUGAGAGGGCCAUGUUAGGGCAACCAGUCUCAGCUGUUCCUAGUCCUUCUGCUACAAAGCCUGGCCAAGAAUUAAAGCACUGUGAACUCCAA